rnacentral:rRNA from 1 species
UACAGAGGUGGCAAGCGUUGUUCGGAAUUACUGGGCGUAAAGGGCGCGUAGGCGGUCUUUCAAGUCCUGUGUGAAAUCCCUCGGCUCAACUGAGGAACUGCACAGGAAACUGCUUGGCUUGAGUUCGGGAGAGGGAAGCGGAAUUCCGGGUGUAGCGGUGAAAUGCGUAGAUAUCCGGAGGAACACCGGUGGCGAAGGCGGCUUCCUGGACCGACACUGACGCUGAGGCGCGAAAGCUAGGGGAGCAAACGGG